rnacentral:rRNA from 1 species
GACGAACGCUGGCGGCGUGCUUAACACAUGCAAGUCGAACGGAAAGGCCCCUUUGGGGGUACUCGAGUGGCGAACGGGUGAGUAACACGUGAGUAACCUGCCCUUGACUUCGGGAUAACUUCAGGAAACUGGGGCUAAUACCGGAUAGGAAUCCUUGCUGCAUGGUGGGGGUUGGAAAGCUUCGGCGGUUUUGGAUGGACUCGCGGCUUAUCAGCUUGUUGGUGGGGUAGUGGCUUACCAAGGCUGUGACGGGUAGCCGGCCUGAGAGGGCGACCGGCCACAUUGGGACUGAGAUACGGCCCAGACUCCUACGGGAGGCAGCAGUGGGGAAUAUUGCACAAUGGGCGGAAGCCUGAUGCAGCAACGCCGCGUGCGGGAUGACGGCCUUAGGGUUGUAAACCGCUUUCAGCAGGGGCGAAGCUUGUGGUGACGGUACCUGCAGAAGAAGCACCGGCUAACUACGUG